rnacentral:piRNA from 1 species
UGCCGAGAGUAGAAGGGAGACAGUG